ACUUUCGGUUUGGCCACAGCUGUGCUACGCCGUCUGCCUGCUUCCUGCAACACUGCAAGCGCUGGCACUCACUACUCCCCUGCUGCCUCUCUUGCUUCUAAUCCCUCUUCCUCUUACAAAUCUAACCCUGAUGAUGGAGGGGGCAGCUGUAAUUUACCACCUUGUGAUCCUCGAAACGAGCCUGAUUCUGCCCUCGAAGUCGGACCUGGAGCCGGAAAUAGAGGAGCUUGGGACGAAGGGAUCAAAACCAAAGUAAAAAAUGGCGCUUCGGAGAACGCACAGAUGACUUCACUGAACUCCCUUCUCCUGAGAAUCUGACAUCUACAUCUGCAGAGGACAACGCCCCACUGUGCCCAUCGCCCUCGGCACCAGCUGGCGCCUCCUCAAGAAGUUCCAGUCCCAACCUGGACCCAAAUGCAACACCUGGUGACUAAUGUGUCACGCAUUGUUCGUCAGCAAGGACACUCCCUUAAUCCAGCCAUUCUGUUUUUAGCCAUGCUAGCCAUUUUGUCUUGUGAUCCUAUGUUGGCACGUUCUGUGCCCACUUAUGAUUCUCCUGACACUUUUUGGGCCUAUAUCCCUGAUCCUCCUUUACUCCGCCCUGUUACUUGGGAUGACCCUGCCUUUACUAUCUUCCUUAACAACACCUCAAUAUUUGGCACCCCUGCAGCCACUCACAUCUAUCCUCAAUCAGCAAAUUACACCUUCUUUGGUCAAUCUAUUUCUCCUCCUAUGUGUUUCCAUGCUGCCAAACUGUACUCUAUGCCCUUUUACAUAGAGGAUCCACAUUAUACACCUGUAAUUACUACUCAGCCUUCACCCUCCUAUUGCUUCAAUUUAGGCAUUCGCCUUUCGCUUAUAGCGGCCUUGAAGCUCUACCCAAAAAUACUCCCCAAUUUACUAGAAAUUGGAUUAUAUCCUGUAUUGGACUCAGGGAAUUGUUAGAAGUUACUCCUGUUAAACUGCCCAUAUACAACCAGCAACCUUGUUAUAAGACCAACAAAUCUCUUGACCCCACACCUGUCUGGCAUUCUUGUCUUCCCCCAUCAGCUCAUGCUCUUCACUCCUACCUUGUUAUAGGGUUUCCUCUUUAUGAUUGGUCUGUACCCUCUCCUCAUCUUUCUGGUAUCUAUCGAUAUGAGUCCCCCGGAGCAUGGAAUACUCCUCUAUAUACCACAGCCUCUGGCAAAACCUAUUCCUCUUUAUGGAGGCUUUUUCUGACUAAUCGUCCUUCUACAGUCUACGCAGGCCUCGGAAGCAACGUUGCUAAGCCUGUACAAACCUUCUCCAUUCGUUCUUGUGUAGCCGCUCCCUAUUCCCUUUUGCUAGGGCCAGUGUCUUUUCAUGUUCAAAAUGGUCAUUAUACUAUUUCCUGUUUAAAUUGCUUACUCACAAACUGUAUUGAUGCUUCCAUGUUCCCUAUUGAUACAAUUGUUGUUGUUCAUCAACCCCCUUAUGUUAUGCUCCCUAUAAAUAUUUCAGGUCCUUGGUAUGAUGAGCAUUCAUACUCUCUGUUCUACAAAACCCAAUCUCUGUUCCUUCGAUGCCAAAAACGUUUCCUUGGUAUGCUCAUUGCUGGAAUUGUUGCCAUUGUGUCUGUGAUAGCUUCUAUAGCUACAGCUGCUGUCAGUCUUACUAAAUCUGUUAAUACUGCUGUAUAUGUGAAUCACUUGGCAAAAAAUGUUUCUAUUGGUAUGGGAACUCAAAUGUCUAUUGAUGAUAAAUUAGAAGCUAAACUGAAUGCCUUAGAACAAACUGUAACCAUACUAGGAGAUGAAGUGUAUAACUUACAAAAUUGACUUUCAUUUCACCAUCAUGUUCAUUAUAAAUAUAUUUGUGUUACUAGUGCUCCUUACAAUGAUUCCCAGUGGCAGUGGCCACUUAUUAAGGCCCAUUUACAGGGCAUCUGGUCUCAUAAUCUCUCUCUUGACAUCUCACGUUUGCAGCAAGAAAUUUCGGCCAUUGACCUUUCUCGGUCACAAUUACCUGAUGAUGACUCUAUUGCUCACUGUUUUGUUGGUGCCAUGUCCUCUUGGGUACAACAGUUUUAUAUCCCCUCUUUUUCAUCACUGCUUGCCAUUGCUGCUUGUUUUCUUAUACUGCUGAUGUGCUUGCCAUGUGUCUUCCGCCUCUUGUUCUCCACCUUCCGAGAAGUGCAAUUGAAGGUGUUUGCCCUUCAUUUGCAAAGUAAAAAACCAUGAGAUGCGGUGUUCACGCCAAGGACUUGAGACAGUUAGCAUGACUCACCCCAUCUUGGUUGCUGGACCUAUCUGCUCUCCCCCCGCUCUCAAGGGCUGUCGAGUCGAGGUAAAAAUGGCUAAGCCACUGAGGCAAAAACAGAAUGCAGAGUAAGGGCCUGCGGUUUAUGAGGACAUUGUGCUGACUGCUUUCAUAUCCCCUUUAGUCUCUGUGUAAGCAAUAGGAUUGCUGCAAUUGAGAUGCCUGAGAGGGCAAAGACCCCUGCCCAUAUUUUCUCAGGAGCUGAGCCUCUGUUCUACCUCCUGAUGGAAAAUAUGAUUAACAAGCCACCUUAAGGGCACCAUUGUUUGCUUGCACUGUGUAUCUUUGAAAAACAUAUAUUAACUCUUAAACUGCUUUGUAAGCUAUUAUCACAAGCCCCCUUAAAACUGCUUUGUGAGCUGUUAUCACAAGCCCCUGAUAACUAUUUUUACGUGGUUUCUGUUCUCUUUUCUGUUUGCCCCCUUUUCUGCUGAGCUAAAGUAAAUGCUAAGCUAAAGUAAAUGUAACAAGACAAAAGGUAUAAAAGCUGUAACCCACAAAUAUAAA